UGGGAUGAUAAAAUUUCCUUUCUUUCUAACUCGCGUGACUCUGGCUGGUUGCAAUUGGAAGUUGGAACCUAUGGCAACGCUUGAAGAGCUGGACGAAUCUACGGGCAAAAGCAAGAAGAAAAGGAAUCAUGGCUCGACCAGACUCUUUGUCUUCAUUGAUUACCUUUUCCUUUUCAUUUUCCUUUGUUUUCUCUGUUUCAUAAUCUUCAAAAUGCUCGGUAGCAUUUCAAUUUGAUUCCUCCUCGUACCACACAAAAAACCUCAAUCAGAGGUAACAACUUAGAUGAUGCUAUUGAUGUUAUUUUUAUAUUAUGCUUUUGAAUAUGUGUGACUCUCUCUCUGUUUGCAUAGAUUAGAUCCCUUAUAUCAAAUGUAUUUCUACCUCUGAUUUAAUUUUAUUUAUUGUUUCCAUUAAAUAUUACGGAGAAUUUAUAUAAAUAUAAGUUGAAACUAGCUUAUAGACAUGACAUGUUAUAAGUUAUUUUCAUAAGCUCUUUUAGAAAUCUUCAAAGUGCUUAUACUUAUACCAUUAGCUAAUUAGCUAAAACUCAAACAAUUCAAUCCGUUAAGAAUCCCACAUUGAAUGAUUCUAAGUUUCUAACUAAAUCCUACAAAAUCAGUUUGUAAGGUGAGAAUUGUUCCUACUUAUAAACAUAUCUUUAGACCGUUUCUUGUCCAAUGUGGAACUCUUAACACACACUCUCACGCCUAUAAGGGGUGCCCAUUGGAUUUUGAACCAGACUCUGAUACCGUCUUAGAAUAUGCUAUAAAAUCGACUUAUGAGGUGCAGAUUUCCUCCACUUAUAAACAUAUCUUCUGGCUGUCUCUCUUGUCCAAUGUGGGACUCUUUACACACACCCUCGCGCCUAUAAGGUGGCCCAUUGGAUUUUGAACCAGACUCUGAUACCAUCUUAGAAUAUGCUAUAAAACCGACUUAUGAGGUGCAGAUUUCCUCCAAUUAUAAACAUAUAUUUAGGUCAUUUGUCAUCCAAUGUGGGAAUCUUAACGCAGUCGAAACAGGCCAGUUGAACAUUUAUAAAGCGAUUUUUUUGCUAUUGAUUAAUGAAAGUUUGGUUAUCCCUUUGGGAAGUUAUGCUUUAUUUAAUGAAUAUGAUAGUUUCCCUUUAGUUAAGGGAAAGGGAAAUUAAUAACUGUAACAACUGUCAGUACGGAAGCACCAAGAGUUAGUUAGAAGAAUAGAAGUUAGUUACAGUAGGAAAGGAUUAAUAGGAGUCAGUGAGUAAGGAGAAAACAGUUUUUCUGUAAGACACAAAGUGUAGGAGAGAAAAGGCCUCCCGGAUGCCUUCGAGAGUUUACUUUUGUUUUGAGUUUGUUCCCAUGUUUGUAUAUUGAGUGAAUUAUGAGCUCCCCCUAAUACGAAUCGUUCAGGAGAACCCGAGUUCGAUUCCUGGUGUGAACAAUUCUUGGCCAGACUUCACUUACCUCGCGGCCAAACUUUGGAUUACCGGGCUCCCUUUUCCCUGUUCCCUGUGAACCAGAGGAUUAAUACCAAAAUAAAAUAUUGAGUGAAUUAUUUCUAGUUUCCUUUUUGGGAUAUGUUCUUAUAGGCUUCAUAGAUUUUGAAAUGUACAUACAUUAUUAACAUGGUUGGUGUUUACUGGUGUGUAUUCUUGAAAGUGCUUUCUUUUGAUUUACUUUUUCCGCGCCUCCUUUUUAAUUUGGCAGGAUAUUCUUUCUGGCAUCCUAUGGCAGAUCUAAUUCCAAACUGGAAAGAUUUUGGUAUUUCUCAGUUUUGAUCAGAUCCUAACAUGCAAUACUUGAAUACGGAGCAUUCUUUUGAAAUGUUGAUAUUAUUAUUUGUGAUCUCUAGAUCAAAGGACAACUUACUCAAUAGUCUCUCUAUGUACCAAAUAAUGUUGUGUAUUUAUGUACCAAACUUUUGUAAAGCAUGAUGUGAAAUGUUGAGGAAAAUUGAAAAGUUUGUUGUCCUAUAUCAGUUGUUUGAUUCAAAGUGUGAAUUUGUGAUAUGCCUUCAGUGUCAAGAGAAUCUGUGUCAUUGUUAAUAGCAGUUUUUGUCAUUGUCAAUGUCAACAACAUUUUGUUUGUGUCAUUCAUUACUUAAAUGGAAAGUCUCUGCAUCGAUUAAUUGGAUAAGCAUAUCAUAUUAUCCACAUUAAUUAAUUUGCCAUGUGUUAAAUGACCCCAUCAAAUUAAUUAGGAAUAUUUUUAGAUUGUGUUUUAUACCUUUUAUUCCUGCUUUUAUAGUCUUGAUCAUGUGAUGUUAACUUCCUGAAUGAUUCCACAAUCAUCAACUACUUUGAGGAACAAUUAAAGUCAAAUAAUAUUAAAUGAAACCAGCAUGAAAACAUUAAACAAGCCACUUACAUACCAUGUUACUAGUGUGUGUACAUCUAGCAGUAGCACACUUAUUUUCAUGGCUAGAAAGCAGUAAAAACGAACUUAAUAAGCAUCACAAGCUCACAAACUAGGUCUAGCUAUUAUUGCAUUCAUGCAUGAAGGAAUUCAUGGAUGAACUGUUGAUGCAACUCUACCACCACCACCACCAUUGCCAGGGAUUGGAACCUCAAAACCCGGGUUUGGAACCUCAAAACCNNNNNNNNNNNNNNNNNNNNNNAACAUAACUGUGACCUGUUGAUCCUGAUCCUGAACCUGAUCCUGAUCCUGCUCCUGAUCCUCCACCGAUGCCACCGGCAUAUGGGUUAUUAGGAGUAAGUCCAAAGUUUGGUGGAAAUCCUAAAUGUCCAAUGCCUGGAUAAUGAAAUUUUUUACCAUGAUCAUGCUUGAACAGAAAAUCAGGCUCUUUCUUAUCGUCGUUAGCAAUGCUACGGCCGGCAACUACUUGCCAUUUUGUGACAAGGAGGAUAUUGAAAAUGAGAAGAAAUGCAAAGAAAGAGUAAGCUCUUUGUGCCAUUUUUAAGUUAUUUGCUAGUGAUAAUAUGUUUUACCUUGGUGAAUUUUGUGUUGAAGUCACAAGAGAGUGAAUGCAUUAUAUAGUAAUUUUGGUUCUACAUUGGCGGUGAGUAAAUUGUGACAUGAUUCAGUACUUGCUAGUAAUUUAUCAUCAGUUUUAUUGGUUGCUGUUUGUAGAAGAUAUUCACCAAUGUUUUGGCGGCUACUAAAUGAACCAUUUAUGCACCGAAGUUUGUAGAUAACAUAUGAAUUGAGAUAUUAUUGCUUCUACAUUCAUUCUUUAUGUUUCUUUGCUUUCUUUUGCUACUUAACUAAAACUUUAGAAGGUUUAAGAUAAGAUGAAGAUUAAAAUUAAAAUUAAGAGAUAACAUCAAGGUUGUCACAACCGGACCGGUCAUCGAACCGGCGAGCUCACCGGUUCAAGGUUCAAUUGGUCGGACCGGGUUCAAUCGNNNNNNNNNNNNNNNNNNNNNNNNNNNNNNNNNNNNNNNNNNNNNNNNNNNNNNNNNNNNNNNNNNNNNNNNNNNNNNNNNNNNNNNNNNNNNNNNNNNNNNNNNNNNNNNNNNNNNNNNNNNNNGGUUCAAGGUUCAAUUGGUCGGACCGGGUUCAAUCGGGGUCGAAUCGUUUUUAAUUAAAUAUAUAUUAUAAUUAAUAUAUAAAUAAAUAUAUAUAUGAAUAAUUUCUCAAUAUUUCAUAAUUUCACGAAUUAAAAAGAUAAAAUAUCAUAAGUCAAAAUAAAAUAAAAUUUAUAAUUCAAAUCAAAUGAAAAAUAGAUGAAAAACAAAAACUUUUCCUAUUCCUACGACGUCGUUGUUUUGUUUCAGAUUUUUUUAAAAAAAUAAAUAAAAAAUCUGCAAAACCGUUUGAACCGCCCGCCCGGUUCGCNNNNNNNNNNNNNNNNNNNNNNNNNNNNNNNNNNNNNNNNNNNNNNNNNNNNNNNNNNNNNNNNNNCGGUUUACGGUCCGACCGAUCCGACCGGCCGGUCCGGUUUUGAUAACCUUGGAUAACAUACAUAAGAUUAAGAUUUAGAUAUGAUGUUUAAUUUAUUAAGAUAACAUGUUUGAUAAAUUCUUACAUGUAUUUAUUAAUCUUUUACUCGACCGUUAUUAUAUCUUUGAAUUAUAAGAUUAAGAUUUAGUUAUGCUUCCAACAUAUUGAUGCUUCGUCUUGGUUUACAACUUGUUAUCUUUAACUUUCAAGGAAACUCACAUAUUUUCUUGCAUUCUUCACAAUGGAGGAAUUGUAUGCAUCUUCUUUCUCAAAUGUAUUUUAAAGUCACUCACAUUUUCAAAGAAGAAAAUUGUUGUGCUGAUAAAAUGACCAACAUUGGUUUAUCCACAAAUAGCUUCACUUAAUUGAUAGCUUGUCUAUCUCUAUUUGGAAUGAUUUCAAUUACAAUAUGCUAGGUUAACCUUAUAUAGGUUUUUUUGAUUUUGUUAUUUAUGUUUGAAUCUUUGUCUUAUCUCCGCAUUCUUUUUCGUUUCAUUAAGUUUUAUCCCAUAUUGAGUUUUUGGUGGUUAGGUUUUUAAUGAGACAGAUGAAUUCUUAUGCUUUGAGUUUUGUUCUAGUCCUCCCAAAAUUCCUUUGCAUCCUUCUUAUUUUAUUUUAUAUAAUAUACUUCAUUCAGGUAAACUUAUUUAGGGUGCCGACAUAGUUGAAAUAUCUUAGUCGUCACUUUUAUACUACUUGACUUUUAAAAAAAGUCACACUCGUAUUAAGUAUUAACUAUCUGAUAUUUAAGUUAUUUAGAGUCAACUCUUUAAAAUGUGACAAACAAUUAAUGUUGCACUGUUUUAUUUUAAAUGAUUUUUUUUAUUUUUUUUGUAGUUUAUGAUGUUAAUUUGUCAUGUUAAUUUUUUUUUUUUUAUAAUGAUGAGGGCCUAAGCCCAAAAAGAAAAUUACAUAAUGACUAGUCUAGGGGUAGUUAUCCCCAACAUAUCAGCAAGUAACAAACUACUUAAUUGCGACGGACACGUAUCAUAGAAAAUACUACAAGAUCUCAAUGAACACCCAAUAUUGGCAAGAGCAUCUGCACAUUUAUUUGCUUCACGGUAAGUGUGAUGAAUAACAACCUCCCAUUCCAUCUCAAGUAGUUGACGAAUCUUAUGAACCAAAGCACUUCCACAAUGACUCCUCUUCCCGCUUCCGAAAUAACUUGUCAUGUUAAUUAUGUGACAUAUUCUAUGCUUGUCGGUGUUUAAUUUUGAAAUAAAUUUUCUCAACUGAUGGUCUCACAUUUAGUGGUAUAAGAUCCACGUUGUGUUCGGUCUUGAUAUAUCCCUCUGUGUCAUUCUUAGAUUUUGUAGAUUUUGGAUAGUAUCUAAUUUUGUUUGUUAGAACAUGAUUAGCAUUUAAUAGCCCCUUUUGAAUAUAUAUUGUUCUGAAGUGAAUAUUUCAUUUUAGUGAUAUUUCAUCCCUUAAUAGGGUGAAACCAGAGUAAUAUUUGUUUUACCCGGAAGUCGGACCUACGAAGCGCAAACACUUCUCAUAUUAAACGUGUUCUGAUGUUGGACACACGUCGGUGCCGGACACCGACACAACACAACCAACACUAACACUUGUGAUUAUACAGAAUUAUAUCAUUUUCUCAAAUUAUUAUUGAUGUCGACAUGUCCAUCUCAUGUAUGGUGUUUGUGAUUUAUAGAGUUGGACAUUAUUAUGUGGUCCUUAUGAAAUUAUGAUAUUUUUUAUCAUUGGAUAAGAGGACAACUUACUCAAUAGUGCACCUGGGGUCUCAAUGUAGCAAAUAAUAUUGUGUAUUUAUUUAUGUACUAAACUUUCUGUAGAGCAUAUAUGAUGUGAAAUAAAUAAUAAGUGUACUCAAAGUUGAGGUAAAUUGUAGAAAUUGUUCUCCUACAUCAGUUGUUUGCUUCAAAGUGUGAAAUUGGAAAAUACAUUCCCUACCUUUUUUUUUUGAAUGGCAUACAUUCCCUGCCUUUAUUUAGAAGGUAGAUGAAUAUAAUUAAUUAACAUAAACUAUUUAGAUAAAAGACAAUGACCGACAAACUUACUAAGUCACAAAAUUUUAUGGGUAGAGAAUUCUUGUCUGUAAAAUUGAAAGUUGAAUAUGUGAUAUGCAUUCUGUCUCAAGGGAAUUUCUAUGUCCUUGUUAAUUUCUUUUUUUUACUAUGUCCUUGUUAAUUGCUGUUUGUGUCAAUGUCAACAUACUUUUGGUAUUAAUCCUCUGGUUAUUAGAAAAAAGAUGAUUACGAUAAUUCAGAGUUUGGAUGCGAGUUCUCCCGAACAAUUCGUCCUUAGAGGAGCUCAUUAACAACUUGACUCAAAUGUGUUGGUUGUCAAUGUCAACAUUUAAUUAGUGUGAUUCAUUACUUAAAUGCAAAGUCUUAUAAAAAUAAAUGAUGAAUAUUUUUAGUUAUUGUUUUAUGUACUUUAAUUAAUCCAGCUGCUUUUAUAUACGCAAUCAUUGAUGUUAAAUUGCUUAAUGCUGAUCCACAAUGAGCAACUACUUUAAAGAUCAAUCAAACUCGAAUAAUAUUCAAUUAAACCAACUAGAAAACAUUAAACAAGAAACUUACAUAUCAAGUAACAAGCCACUAGUGUGUGUACAUCAUAUCUAGAAGUAGCACACUUAUUUUUAUGGCUAGAAAUAAGGAAAAACGAUCUUAAAAAGCAUCAAAAGCUCAUAAACUCACAAACUAGGUCUAGCUAUUAUU
rnacentral:lncRNA from 1 species